AUACUCAAAUCUCAAUAAUUAAAGGAAUAAAAAAGAAAGGAAAAAUGAGCCCAAACAUCUUCACAAGUGAAAGCCACUAAACAUUCUGGUGAAUAGCCUUCCAAAUAAUUACUGGAUAUGCGUGUUGUCCCUAAGACUGCAUGUUUAUACCUAAGGUUAGUAUUGCUGGCUGAAUAACAGUAAUUCCCACACUAACGACUUAAAAUGCCUCCCCUUCCCCACACCAACGUUCACACAACUCCACUCCCUUUUCUACCUAGCAAUUGCCCUGUUUCAUAGUCCCGGGUUUUCCCUCCUCCUAGUGUUAUCAUACUACAUCCCACCCUCUCCCUCUCUUAACUUCAGUAAGUUUGUAUUUCCUAGCAACCCAUAAAGCAGCUUUAAAUCCUCUUCUGGAAUAAAACAGUAAUCAAAGAAAUAUACAUUAAAACAAUCAAAAACCACUUCCCAUUUGUAAAACCAGCUAUUUAAAAAAAAAACUUAUCUUUCUUAGUUAUCUUUUCUUUUUUUUCUUCCUUACAUUUAAAAA
rnacentral:lncRNA from 1 species